AGAGUUUGAUCAUGGCUCAGAAUCAACGCUGGCGGCGCGCUUAACACAUGCAAGUCGACGAGAAAGGGGAGCAAUCCCUGAGUAAAGUGGCGUACGGGUGAGUAACACGUGGGUAAUCUACCUGUUAGUGGGGAAUAACUCCGCGAAAGUGAAGCUAAUACCGCAUAAUCCCGCAAGGGGAAAGUAGUAAUACGCUGACAGAGGAGCCCGCGGCUGAUUAGCUAGUUGGUGAGGUAAUGGCUCACCAAGGCUGCGAUCGGUAGCCGGCCUGAGAGGGCACACGGCCACACUGGCACUGAAACACGGGCCAGACUCCUACGGGAGGCAGCAGUGGGGAAUCUUGCACAAUGGGGGAAACCCUGAUGCAGCGACGCCGCGUGAGCGAUGAAGUCCUUCGGGAUGUAAAGCUCUUUCGACGGGAACGAUAAUGACGGUACCCGGAGAAGAAGCUGCGGCUAACUACGUGCCAGCAGCCGCGGUAAUACGUAGGCAGCGAGCGUUGUUCGGAAUUACUGGGCGUAAAGAGUGUGUAGGCGGUUUGGUAAGUUUGGUGUGAAAUCUCCCGGCUUAACUGGNGGCGCCGAAAACUGCCAGACUAGAGUGCCGGAGAGGAAAGCGGAAUUCCUGGUGUAGCGGUGAAAUGCGUAGAUAUCAGGAGGAACACCGGUGGUGUAGACGGCUUUCUGGACGGCCACUGACGCUGAGACACGAAAGCGUGGGGAGCAAACAGGAUUAGAUACCCUAGUAGUCC
rnacentral:rRNA from 1 species